rnacentral:rRNA from 1 species
GGAGGCACUCUGACCAGCCAUGCCGCGUGCAGGAAGACUGCCCUAUGGGUUGUAAACUGCUUUUAUACAGGAAGAAACACUCCUACGUGUAGGAGCUUGACGGUACUGUAAGAAUAAGCACCGGCUAACUCCGUGCCAGCAGCCGCGGUAAUACGGAGGGUGCAAGCGUUAUCCGGAAUCAUUGGGUUUAAAGGGUCCGCAGGCGGUCAAUUAAGUCAGAGGUGAAAUCCCAUAGCUUAACUAUGGAACUGCCUUUGAUACUGGUUGACUUGAGUUAUACGGAAGUAGAUAGAAUGUGUAGUGUAGCGGUGAAAUGCAUAGAUAUUACACAGAAUACCGAUUGCGAAGGCAGA